CUGCGAAUGGCUCAUUAUAUAAGUUAUCGUUUAUUUGAUAGUACCUUACUACUUGGAUAACCGUGGUAAUUCUAGAGCUAAUACAUGCUAAAAAUCCCGACUUCGGAAGGGAUGUAUUUAUUAGAUUAAAAACCAAUGCCCCUCGGGGCUCUCUGGUGAUUCAUAAUAACUUCUCGAAUCGCACGGCCUUGCGCCGGCGAUGGUUCAUUCAAAUUUCUUCCCUAUCAACUUUCGAUGUUUGGGUAGUGGCCAAACAUGGUUGCAACGGGUAACGGAGGGUUAGGGCUCGACCCCGGAGAAGGAGCCUGAGAAACGGCUACUACAUCCAAGGAAGGCAGCAGGCGCGCAAAUUACCCAAUCCCGAUUCGGGGAGGUAGUGACAAUAAAUACUGAUACAGGGCUCUUUCGGGUCUUGUAAUUGGAAUGAGUACAAUUUAAAUCCCUUAACGAGGAACAAUUGGAGGGCAAGUCUGGUGCCAGCAGCCGCGGUAAUUCCAGCUCCAAUAGCGUAUAUUAAAGUUGUUGUGGUUAAAAAGCUCGUAGUUGAACCUUGGGCCUGGCUGGCCGGUCCGCCUCACCGCGUGUACUGGUCCGGCCGGGUCUUUCCCUCUGUGGAACCACAUGCCCUUCACUGGGCGUGGCGGGGAAACAGGACUUUUACUUUGAAAAAAUUAGAGUGCUCCAGGCAGGCCUAUGCUCGAAUACAUUAGCAUGGAAUAAUGAAAUAGGACGUGCGGUUCUAUUUUGUUGGUUUCUAGGACCGCCGUAAUGAUUAAUAGGGACAGUCGGGGGCAUCAGUAUUCAAUUGUCAGAGGUGAAAUUCUUGGAUUUAUUGAAGACUAACUACUGCGAAAGCAUUUGCCAAGGAUGUUUUCAUUAAUCAGGAACGAAAGUUAGGGGAUCGAAGACGAUCAGAUACCGUCGUAGUCUUAACCAUAAACUAUGCCGACUAGGGAUCGGACGAUGUUAUUUAGUUGACUCGUUCGGCACCUUACGAGAAAUCAAAGUGCUUGG
rnacentral:rRNA from 1 species